GCUUAAAAACAAUCCGGGUCAAAAAAGUUGACUUCAUUUGGCGGGUAAUUAAAAAUUAGUUUCAAAAAAGGUCGGUGCUUCAUUCCACUUCUUCCUCAUUUAACGUUCAAAACUGUUUUGGUCAAUAUGAUCUCUUUGGAAGGAAAUCAGAGGAAAAGAGGUGAAAUUCAGGUGAUAAUCGGUCCCAUGUUGAGCGGAAAAACGACUGAACUGAACCUUCGCAUCCAAAGAUACAAAAUAGCUCAAUAUCGCUGCUUUCUCAUCGAACAGGCUAAAGACUCGGAAAGACUGAUUGAUCAGACUAAAAGAAAAUCAUUGGAGACUUACUUGGAACUUGCUGAUCAAUAUGAUGUGAUUGGUAUUGAUGAUGGACAUUGUUAUGACACAAUUGCAUCGUUUUCCAAUGACUUGGCUGACAAAGGUAAAACUGUGAUCGUUGCCGGACGUGACUCUACCCACCUGAAGCAGGGUUACCCAGCUAUCUUAUCAUUAAUCUCAUAUGCUGAAAGGGUAGACAAACUGUCUGCUGUCUGCGUUCAUUGUUCACAGGAUGCUGCUUUCACUCGUUUUCGAGAAUCUCAGGUUCAAGAAGACCAUUCCAGCCUCGCCAAACACUAUGAACCAGUGUGUCGAAGAUGUUUCAAGUUGCCUCAUCAGUCUUUCACUUCAAGAUCUCUCAAAUCUCCACAGGAAUCUUUUACUCCAAGACAUCCAUUGAAAGAAAACUUCAAAGAGAAUGUCACACCACUUCUGGAACAUUCAACUGCAGAGAUACCAGUUGUUACUAAACCAUCACCUCUGGUGCCGAAUCUUACUAUUACAUUGGAUCCAGCUCCCGUUCCUGCUCAAGACGAGGCAUUUAGUCCACCACCAUUGGCUAACUUGAAAAGUACUGUAAAUAGAACCAAGUUAUUCAGUAGUCCAUAAAUGACUGAAUAUUUUCAUUGGGGGUAUCCCCUGAAUAUUUUCGUUAGGGUAUCCCCUGAAUAUUUUCGGUAGGGUAUUCCUUGCAUAUUUUCAUUGGGGUAUUCCUUGAAUAUUUUUGUUAGGGUAUCCCCUGAAUAUUUUUAUUGGAGGUAUCCCCUGAAUAUUUUCGCUAGGGUAUCCCCUGAAUAUUUUCACUAGGGUAUCCCCUGAAUAUUUUCGUUAGGGUAUCCCCUGAAUAUUUUCGUUAGGGUAUCCCCUGAAUAUUUUCGUUAGGGUAUACCCUGAAUAUUUUCGUUAGGGUAUACCCUGAAUAUUUUCGUUAGGUUAUCCCUUGAAUAUUUUCAUUGGGGUAUUCCUUGAAUAUUUUUGUUAGGGUAUCCCCUGAAUAUUUUUAUUGGAGGUAUCCCCUGAAUAUUUUCGUUAGGGUAUACCCUGAAUAUUUUUCUUGCCAUUAUACUCCUAUUUUUAAACCAUUGCACCAUUCAACAUUUUCUUACACACACACACA
rnacentral:misc_RNA from 1 species